AGCGAACGCUGGCGGCAGGCCUAACACAUGCAAGUCGAGCGAAGCCUUCGGGCUUAGCGGCGGACGGGUGAGUAACGCGUGGGAACGUGCCCUUUGGUACGGAAUAGCCCCGGGAAACGGGGAGUAAUACCGCAUGUGGUCGAGAGACGAAAGAUUUAUCGCCAAAGGAUCGGCCCGCGUUGGAUUAGGUAGUUGGUGGGGUAAUGGCCUACCAAGCCGACGAUCCAUAGCUGGUUUGAGAGGAUGAUCAGCCACACUGGGACUGAGACACGGCCCAGACUCCUACGGGAGGCAGCAGUGGGGAAUCUUAGACAAUGGGGGAAACCCUGAUCUAGCCAUGCCGCGUGAUCGAUGAAGGCCUUAGGGUUGUAAAGAUCUUUCAGUGGGGAAGAUAAUGACUGUACCCACAGAAGAAGCCCCGGCUAACUCCGUGCCAGCAGCCGCGGUAAAAC
rnacentral:rRNA from 1 species